AUUGAACGCUGGCGGCAGGCCUAACACAUGCAAGUCGAACGAGUGGCGGACGGGUGAGUAAUGUCUGGGAAACUGCCCGAUGGAGGGGGAUAACUACUGGAAACGGUAGCUAAUACCGCAUACCAUCGGAUGUGCCCAGAUGGGAUUAGCUAGUAGGUGGGGUAAUGGCUCACCUAGGCGACGCUCCCUAGCUGGUCUGAGAGGAUGACCAGCCAACCUGGAACUUAGACACGGUCCAGAUCCCAACGGGAGGCAGCAGGGGGGAAUAUUGCACAAUGGGCGCAAGCCGGAUGCAGCCAUGCCGCGUGUAUGAAGAAGGCCUUCGGGUUGUAAAGUACUUUCAGCGGGGAGGCGUUACCCGCAGAAGAAGCACCGGCUAACUCCGUGCCAGCCGCCGCGGUAAUAC
rnacentral:rRNA from 1 species